GGUUUUUUUUUUUUUUUUUUUUUUGUUUUUUUCGUCAGAUUGACGGCUGGCCGCAAGCCUACCACUUGCAAGUCGAGCGGCAGCGGGAAAUUAGCUUGAUACUUUGGCCGACGAGCGGCGGACGGGUGAGUAAUGCGUGGGGAUGUGCCCAGUCGAUGGGGAUAACUACUGGAAACGGUAGCUAAUACCGCAUACGCCCUGCGUGGGAAAGCAGGGGACGUUUGGGCCUUCCGCGAUUGGAUGAACCCAGGUGCGAUUAGCUAGUUGGUGAGGUAAUGGUUCACCAAGGCGACGAUCCUUAGCUGGUCUGAGAGGAUGUUCAGCCCCACUGGAAUUGAGCCACGGUCCAGAUUCUUACGGGAGGCACCAGUGGGGAUUAUUGCACAAUGGGGGAAAUCCUGAUGCAGCCAUGCCGCGUGUGUGAAGAAGGCCUUCGGGUUGUAAAGCUACUUUCAGUGAGGAGGAAAGGUUGGUAGUUAAUAAGUUCCAGCUGUGACGUUACUUGCCGAAGAAGCCCCGGCUAACUCCGUGCCAGCAGCCGCGGUAAUACGUAGGGGGCAAGCGUUAUUCGGAAUUAUUGGGCGUAAAGCGCACGCAGGCGGUUUGAUAAGUUAGAUGUGAAAGCCCCGGGCUCAACCUGGGAAUUUCAUUUAAAACUGUCCAACUAGAGUGCAGUAGAGGAGAGUGGAAUUCCAGGUGUAGCGGUGAAAUGCGUAGAGAUCUGGAGGAACACCCAUGGGGAAGGCGGCCCCUCUGACAAUGACUGACGCUCAGUGCGAAAAGAGCGCC
rnacentral:rRNA from 1 species